AUAGCUUGUCAUUAACAUUAUCAGUAAGCGUGAGAUUCUACAAUUUAUAUAUUCUUAGGUUAUGUUGAUCUCUGUGCACUUGGGUCAAGUUGACACACAAAACUAGCCAGUACAAAGACCUUCUGGAAAAUCUGAAGUGUAUGUGGAACUUUGAAGAUAUCCUAUAAGUACUAACUUAAAUCAUGUUAAUGCCCAUGAGAUUUUUAGGCAUCUUAGGAAAGUUGUGUCCCCAAUUAUGAUUGCCUAAUUACAUUGUUUUCAUGUAUUUUACUUUGGAAAUAAUGGUGUAAUAUACCUCAGCAGUUGAAAAGGGACCGUGGCAGGCAACAAAAAAUGAAAUGAUAUGAACUUUAACUAAACUGAUACAAUGUUUUCUAAUCAAGAAAGCAUGGGGUCAAUAACAGUAUUCAUAUCUUUGAAGUUUAAAUACUCAUGGUUUAAAUAAUUGAUUUACUGUUUAUCACAACAAAAUCGACCAUAGAACUUUGGCAAAGAUAUCCCUUCCUAGGCCUUUUCACAUCAGGGUUCAGAACUCAUUUUACAUCUCAUGAAAUGAUACAAAAGACCAAGAAACUCUGUCAGUGUCCUGGUUAAACCAAAAGUAUAUUAAAUGUAUUUUCCACCAUUUGUUUCUCAGGUACCUGUCAAGAUAUGGUGGCUAUCAUAACUACGGUAGUUAACAACUUGUAUAGUAGGUAUUGAGGUAAGUGCUGAGGUGAGCCUGAAUCAGGUCAAAAGCUAUCUGAUUGUCCUUUAUAGGGAAAAGUAACCAUAAUGGCCAUACAAUUAACAAGCCUUUGUUCCUGGAGAUCAGGAAAGAACCAUUUACAUCCAUAAAAAUUCAAGAAACUAUGGAUUUAUGCUUUCAUAGUACAAAGAAAACUUGUUUCACUUAGGAAGACUGAGUAAUUUUACUGUGGAUUAAUUAUCAUUUUUUAACUCCAAGCUAGCAGUGAACUUGAGCUUUAUUUUGCAGUUGUCUAAUCAAGGAAAGAUGGAUUCUUCUGAAAAUACUGUUAACUUUGAAUUAAUCCAAACAUUCAAAUAGAACGGUUGUGUCUCUUAGCCAUCAUCGUGGUCACGAGAAUGGACAGGUAGGUUAGUAGAACAAGUUAUAUUCUGAAACUAAAUUUUAACCUGUUUUUCAGUUUCUAUUCAAGACAACACAGAAGUACAAAGAAAAAUGCUAUGUCAGCUAAGUGAGAAAGUCAGCCUAACCCAGUAUAGACAAUUUUAAGUGCAAUAUUUGUAGAAAUGACACUGAUAUAUUUAGUAAGUGUUCCUAAGUAUGUCUUUCAGAGGCAGGCCAACCCAUCUCAGUAGGCUACAAAAGGCAUUCAAGGGAACACUGCUUAUAUGUAGAAUAAUACAGAAAGGAUUGUUGAUUGGAUCCUAAUAAUAAGCAGGUAUUACCAGGUAAGUGAUGGAGGGACUAUAGUACAUCCAUCCUACCAGAUCAGAGUAUGUCACUAAUCUGAUGUUGCCAUAUUUUUUAUAGGUCUUCUAUUUAGCCUUUACUAGUGAACAGGUAUAAGAUGGCAUCAUAUUAAUUCAUUGAAACUCUUAUUUUAAAAUGUGCCGUGGGCUCAUAUGUUGGAAACCUUUUUCUUCCUCCCGGCCCUCUUGUAUGUAAUUCAAAUAAUAUCUCAAUUAAUCUUUCUAAUUGAGCAUAAGUUUUAUAACAGUAAGGACUGAUUGUGCAUAUUUAAUGCUUGUAAUGUCUUGAGCAGGUACACAAAUAAUUUUCUAGUGCUGGUAACUAUAAUUUUUACAGUAGAAUUUUGGGUAGAGCUCUUUUAGGAUAUUAAGAAUUGCAUUUCAAGGUUUUGUUACAGAGGGUCAGGAAGAUUCCAGAUAGCAUAAAUGGAUCUUGAAAUGAUGCAGUUUCCUUGGGAAUUUUCAAGUGUAUAGGUAGAGUGAAGCUUCUAUAACACAGAUCUCCAAAGCAUGUUUUGCAGAGACAGGUCAAGACAUCAGAGUUGAGAUAAUGAAUGCCAUGUAGAACACAGCUAAGAUCCAGGUAAGUACUCUGCAUGUAUAUAGGAAGUAGGUGUCAUACGAUUCUCUUCUUGGCACCAUGCUUUUUUGCAGUUGUUCAGGUAAGAAAUGAUGAAGCCCCCAGCACUUGCAAUGACUAUGAAGCAUAAUUUUUCAUAUAGUAGAAAAAAUUCAUACUGAACUUUAUUGUUAGGGGAUUGGAUAUAUACUGGUUUGCCAUUAUGGAACUCCUAGCCUAGUAGCUUUCCCAAGGGUAUUGUAAAGCUUGAAUUAAUGAUCUGUUUAUGUAGAGUUAGGGUGCCUCUUAAUGUUUAAGGGCAAAGAAGUGGGCAUGUGUCCUGUAGGGCUAUAAUCUGAGACACAUUUUCAUGGUGUUUGUUCAUCUUCUCUUGAAAUGCAUUCAAAGGUAACUGAAAAUAUCAUUAACAGAGAUUACUGAUAACCAGGUAAGUAAUUCAGGAAUCAUAACACAGAGUGGACCUCCUGAUCUUCAGUAUCCAGGCAGAUGAAAGUUGUGUGUAAUCCCAUAUUGCUUUGUUUUGGUGGGUGUCCUGUGAGAGUUUCGACUACUAUACAGGUAUGUAAUGAUACCACUUUCAAUCAUUAGAAACAUUUAUUUUUCAACUAUAUCUUCGAUAAGUGUUUUCAGCAAAAAAGAUGAAGAAGAUAUAUAAAGAGGUUAGGAUUCAGUGAAAAGCAAAACUAGAAACAACCUAGAUGUCCCUCAACUAAGAAUGGAUAAAGAAGAUGUAGUACAUCAGUACAAUGGAAUAAUAUUAAGCUAUUAAAAAGAAAAACAUGGAUUUGGAGGCAAACGGAUGGAACUAGAAUAUCAUCCUGAGUGAAGUAACCAGACCCAGAAAGACACAUAUGGUAUGUACUCACUUGUAAGUGAACACUAACCAUAAAGUAUAUUAUAACCAUGCUACUAUCCACAGACCCCAAGAAACUAAGUAAUAAGGAGGAUCCAAAAGAGGAUGUGUGACUGUCACUCAGAAAGAUAUACAUAGGAAAUGAAUGGAGAGACUGAACUGGGUGGGGAAAGGAGUGAGGAAGGGAACAGGGAUGGUGAUCAAGUGUGGGAAGAGGUGGGUGGGAGAGGUUUUAGAAAGAUAAAGGCAUUACUAUAGUUUAAAUUUUAUCAUUGUAUCCACAGACAAAUAUAGCUACUACUCCUUAUCAAUGAAGUCUCCCUUUACGACAAAUGGAGAGCAUUAUAGAGAACCCCCAAUUGGAAACAGUAUAGAGACCAACAAAUUGCAGAGAGCUCAACCCCAAUAGCUACAUCUCCAUCAUAGACCCUGCAUCUGUGGCUCAGAAGACAUCAUGGAAGAGGCACCCUGAAAGAUUUAAGACCCAAGAAUUCUGCAGUGAACCAGUGCCUCUUAAUAAUUGGCUGUGUAAACAAAACCAGAACAAUGGCAAUAUCAGUGUGUAAGAAGGAAAUUUUGGGGGCUAGUACCCCUAAACAAAGAUCUACAAGCAAGUAAUGCUGAGAAGAGAACUAGUGUCUCCCAGGGAUGCAUCCUUAAUUGUUGUCCAGUGCACAGUGGACCUUUAAACCAUAUACACAUCAACCACAAAAGCAGACUCUGCAUAUGUAGAUAUAUAGACGUGUAUGUGUGUGUGUAUGUGUGUGUGUGUGUGUGUGUGUGUAGCAAUAAUAAAAAUAAGACUAUCAGCUUGAGAGUGGGAUGGGGGCAUGGGAGGGAUUAGAGAGAAGGUAGAUGGGAAGGAGUUGUGAGGAAAAGGUGGGAAAGGUGAUGUAAAUCGACUUUAAAUAAUGUUUCAAAGGUGACGUCUAUUUCAAGGGUGAUAUAAAUCUAUUCAAUAAUGGAUGUAAAUCUAUUUCAAAUAAUUUUUAGAAGGAGAGAAAUGGUAGCGCUCUCAACAAUCUUGCUGAUAAUUACAUUUUUAUAUUGUAUGAAGAUUCAUGUUGAAUCUGUGAAUUUUGCGGUAUUGAUUGCAUUUUGGUUCACUGUGGUUUUUAUGAACUACCGAGCCAUCAAUAAGCACAGUAUAAUUAGCAGAAUCUCAAACAAAAAAGAAUAGACUCUCCUAAAGUCAAUCUAGCCCUUCCAAUAAAUUUGGAAUAUCCGUUAGUCAUGACAGUAGGACAAAGAAGUGAAUAGGUGCCCUGACAGAGUAAGCUAUGGUCUCAAUCCUAAUUUGUAUUUUUGUUUCAGAUUCCCUUCAAGAAGACAUCGUUAUCCAAAAAAAAAAAAGAUUUCCAUUAGGUCUUUACUAAUAGCCUGGUUUUAUUUAAGAGAAUACAGCAUUUCAGAGAAGGCUACUGGGGGAACCUUGCUAAGAACUAAGUAAGUGACACAUUUGUGGUGUUGGACCGGAGACUGGUUUUUAGUAUCAGUGUAAAUGAGGAAUCCAGGUCUGGAUUCCAUGAGUGUUUAGCAGGAAUUCUCUGGAUUUGUGAGUGGUACAUAGGUAUGAGAUGAUGCCAAAUGUACUCAUUACAAUUUUUAGAUUUCCAUUUGAUUGUUUUAGGUUUUUAUAUUUCCCUCUCUUUUAAACAUUUGCAUGUCAUUAAAACAGGAAUAUAUCACCAGUAUUACUGCUAGGCAUCAAAGUUUACUUUAACCUUGUGAAUAAAAGUUCAUUCACACUCAUAGUGGUAGAGACCUAAACAAGGGUCCAGUGUUUUCCUGUGUCUAUCAUUACCGUGUUUUAAAUUUGAAUUUCUUCUGGGAAAAGGUAUCAUGCAGCCCAUGCUGGCUUCAAACUCACUAUAUAGAUCAGGAUUACCUUGAACUUCUGAUCUUCCUGAUCUCUCUCUUGAGUGCUUGGAUUACAGGUAUGUACCACAAUUCAUCACUACAGUGUUGACCAUGCGAUGCUUGUAGGUAUCCUCUUAAAUGACUAAAUGCACCAUACCAAGCCAUUGUUCUGUGAGAUUGUCAAGUCUCGAGAUAAGAUUGAUACAUCCUAAAAUCACGCAAUGACCUACUGAAUUUCUGUGUGUACACAUAGAACGAGGCAUGUACCAAAUAGGUGUUUAACUGUUUUGUUUUUCAGAGUUAGCACAAAGCAUCAUGGUGAGAGAGUGUCAUCAAGUGGGGCUAAGCCAUAGCGUAAAAUACAUCUUUGUUAAUAUCUAUAACUUUUUAUCAUGUUUUUUGGCAAUUAUUAGUUAAAAAAUAAUGGGAUUCUAACAAUAUUACUAAAAAUGAGAUAGAAUAUUCUAAUAUUAGUCAAGAAAAGAUAAGGUCUCUGACAACUGUUUUACUGUUUCAUCAUUCCAAGUAUUCAGGUGGACUUUGAGUUUCAGUGAUCAUUGACAAAGUUGGACAGAAAUCCAGGUUAAAUAACUUGUAUCCUGAACCAUAUCUUUUCCUUUUUCUUUGGUCCCUUUAAGGGAAAAUACACAGAAAGGUGGACAGAAUCUUGCUAGAAGGGAGGUAGAUGAGAAAAUAAUCAUAGCACAGUAAAGACUGUGCGAUCUUCAAACUCCAGUAGAUAUGAAGGGUGUGCCUAAUCAGUUCCUAUGCUCUGUAAAAGUUAGUUUAUUUUGUAAAUCUCAUGAGAGCUGAAAGAAUGUGUGUGCCCUGCCUUGCUGUCCUGGAUUCAUCACCCUGAAUGUAAGCAUGCUGUUCUUUUGUUUUGUUUUGUUUUUUUUAACCUGGUGGUGGAAAAAAUGAAACUUUGCUAAUAUUACUAAGAACUUUCAGGUUUCAUUGACUUUUUACUGACCAAAGGUAUAAAUUUAAUGUUUAUCCUGACAGGGACAUACUCGAGAUUUCAGGUGAUUUUACUCCUGCCCUUCAACGUAAAUUUAAUUGUGCAAUUUUCCGAGUUAUCCUCUGAAAUAAACAACAACUAUCUGCAAGGCUUUGUCUACAAAUAUCACCAUAGCUUGCAUGAUUCUGAAAUGAUAAAAUGACUUAGAGAGCUUUCGGUGCUUAUAGCAAAAUGAAACAGCUGCCAAGUUAAUAUUCUGCAUUGUGUUUUUAGAGAUAGGUUUGAUCUUCAUGGUGCACUAGAAAAUUCAAUGAAAUGGAACACUGCUCAUAUUCAUGGAAGUGCUCAGGAGUCUGAAAUCAUUAAGUGAUAUAUGGUUUAUAUAUGGUGGGGUGGGGGUAGUAUUUUUCUUGUCACCAUGCCUUUGUUACAUGACUUUUGCCUUCACACUCCCUUCAAGAGUGUACAAUGACCCUGAAAAAUGUUGAGGGAAGUUUGUUAAUUUUUAGGUAAAUGAUGACGUAGAUACCACAGCACAAACAAUGUGAUCUUAGAUAUCUAAGGUAAGUGUUGCAGUACCAAGGUAUAUGAGGACUAGUGCCAAGAGGGGUGUCAUCACAUUUCUUUUUGCAUAUUUCUGGAAUGAUUUUAGAUAGUGCCUAGUUGAGGGGACAUCAAGACCUUACUUUUAGAUGUGUAUGUUAGAAGUGUUUCUGGCAAGCUUACAUUCCCUGUUUUUUACAUACCCAUUAUUAAAACACAAAUAUGUCCUUAACAACCCUACUAACAUAUUCUUGUACGCUUGCCAUCAAGAAAUGUCUUCUAUAUAUAUAAUGGCAGAAACAGACUCACAGGUUCAGGUUAUAUUCACAGGCUUCAUCACAGAUACAGUGUGUUCAUUUUGCAGCUACUCUUUCAAGGAAGUAAGAGAGCGCUUAUGAGGAUUUGCUCUGAAUUCUUCGAGUUUCUACAGGUUCUCCUCACAUUACCUUCAUGUUUCUUCAUCCUAGCCUGGACCACACAACAAAACCACCUGCCUCUGCUUCCCAGGUGCUGUGAUUAAAGGCCUGUGCCACCGGGACUGCAUGGUGUUUUCUUAUGGAUUAUCUGAAGAAGGAUAUGAUCCCUGAAAGAUUAUUGGCUGGAGAUUCUUAACCAUGAGAACACAGUGCCUGCGAACAUAUUGUUGAUGGAGCCUGGUUAAUUCCUACAUUAGUGAUCAAGUACAUGUACCACAUGGCAAACCAUCUGCUAUCAGACAUUCUGAUUAGCGAGGAGGGUGCCUAAUGUGCUGUUUCUGUCUUUGGGGUUAUGAUGUUUACUCCUUAAAUAUAAUGGUGGAAAUAAAAACAACUUACCAGGUAAUUAUCAUCCUUCCCACAUAUUGAUGUGGACCAUGGAUGGUUUCCUGGUACCCUCCUUUUUGAAAAUUUCCCUUUAUUAUGAGAACUUUUGACUCAGAGUUCUGCAAAUGGUCAAAGGUCAUGAAAUAAUAAUGACCUUAGCAAUGUCAUGUGACACAGAAAAUUUCCCUUAGUGUAGUUCUAUAGCAGGUUAGAGCAUCACAAUGAUUACAUCAUAAACAGUGUGGACACAUAAAAUAUUCCAGGUUAGUCUUGCUAUGAGCCUCAGUCACAGUAUGGGACAUUUGAUCUUCAAAGUUACAAGUAAGUGACGAUGGUCUCUCUGGUACAUCUUGACACCAAUCUUUUGCUACCUCUACUGGUGUAAAAGAUAUGAUUCAGUUCUUAGCAAUUGUGGUAGCCAUGAGUGAAUAUUCCUCAGGUAGUAGUGAAAAUUUAUGAUGCGCCUGAACAUGUGGGGUUUGACAAUGUCCCACAGAUAGGCCCACAGGCCCAUACAAUGAAGACAACUCCUCAAGAGGCUUCCUCUUUAUGGGUGUCUCUAGUUUGUGUCACAUUGACAACAACUAAGCAGCUGGUAGUUUUUGUCAACUUGCUGGUAUUAGCUCAUUCAUAAGACAGAACAGCUAACCUUCCUAUGUGGAUAGUUGUUGAUGAUCUCAAUAUCUUUUACAUAUCAAUGACUUUGAUAAGUACUAUAGUGCAAAACAAUGUUGUGCUUAAUAAUGCAAGUUAUAAGUUUUACAAGGUAGAAGCAAUCUGAAUAUUUAGAAGCUCAUUAUUUCCUAGUUUUUUUGGUUUUUUUGAAUUGUUCACAACCUGGUGCUUCGCUGUAACAUUUUGCAGGUGGCCUUUCAAGGUAAGGGAAGAUGCUCUUGAUAAUAUCUGCAACCUCAAACUUGUUCAGGUAACCAUGUAGAGAUAAACUCUUCCUUAACAAUGGUAGCGAUUAAGGUAAUCGACAAGUGUCCUUGAAAUGCAUUUGAAACAAAUCAGAUCUUGAAACACGUUUGGGGAAUUUUGUUUGUCUUCUUUUGGAGGUAGGGAAAUAAUUGGGGUUGAAUUGAGGAACUCAUAUUUACUCUAGUGCUUACCGUUGACCUGUAACCUCAGCCCUCAUGUAUUUUUGCUUUUUAUUUUGAGAAAGUAUCUGACUGUGGUGCCAAAGUGAUCUUGAAUUUUCUCUGUAGCCCAGGCAAACCUUUAACUUCUAGUCCUCUGGCCUUAAUCUGCUUAGUAGCAAGUCUCACAGACCCGAGUCACUAGGCCUGGCUUAUGUUUUCUGACAGAUUCUCUUAAACAGAACACAGUGAUUACUAAAGAACUUUGGAAUGGAUAUUGAUCCUAAGCACCUAACUGAUAAACCGAUUAUAGCUCAGUGAAGACCACCUCAUUUUCAAUAUCCAGACAGUUGAACUGGCUAAGUCAACCUGAAAUUGCGAUUUUUUGUAGGUGUUUUCUUACUUUCUUGGCUAGUUCACUGGUGUGAUUUCUCUCCACACUUCUAGCCCUUAACAUUCUCAGUUGCUAUUUUGGCAUUUCUCCAACCUUUUUGGCAAUCCUGCUUCUCCUCUACUGUGUCUAAUGUUAUUUAAGCACUAAAUGCCAUUUUUAUUCUAACUUCAAGACUGUAUGAAUUUAAUAAUCACCAUGUAGAGACAGAAGCAGGAUUCCACAUAGUUCUCAAUGUGGCCAUCAUUUUGAUGAUAUAGAUGCUAACAGUUUUAGAGAUAACCUUUGUGGGGAGGAAGACUUUUAUGAUAAAUCUCUGUCCAUUGUCUUUUGCAAGAAUCUAGGUCUGGUAGAUGCACCCAGAAUUAAUACCAUGACCUUGGCAAUUUUAAUAUGGAUCAGUAGAACAAGGCACAUAUCUAAUGAGUUUUCCUUGGUGUGUUUCUCAGAGACAGGUUAUAGCAUCAUGGUAGUAUGUAAAAAAAAAAAGGUAUGCAAGAAUACUACUUAUAUCUGCAAAAGUGCCACUGUGAUCCUGAAUCCUUCUACAGGCCAUCUCAUCAUCAUCUGAAUAGCUAAGUAAUGAUGGCAUCCCCAGCCAUUUUUUCUAACUUACAUCACAAGCAAAAACUCAGAUCAGAAAUCAUGGACUUCUUAAACAAAUUUAGUGAACAUGAUUUCAUAUUAUUUAUAUGGCUAGAAAAUUGAACCUGUGAAUACUGAGGGGUUGACUAUGUCAAUGGUUUAUUGGCAUUGUUGUUGAUCUGUUAGACUAGAAGUAAGAAUAGUUUGUUUUGAGAGUGGAAAUAGAGAAGUUCUAAGAUGUCCUGAACUGUGGUCUUAUUAGAUGACAUCUAUUCAGUUGUAAUUGAAAUAUUUCUAAGUAGAAGUCAUGGAUGGAGGAACUGGAUGAUGACCAUGUAGGUCACACUUUAUUUUGAUAUGUUUGUGUCACUUCUUCCUCAGUUUUGCAUUUAGAUUUUUCAUGAAGAUUGUUGUUGACAGACCCUUCCUAAUUCUAGGUAAGUGAUAAAGAGGCAUACCACCAUACAGGAUAUUUAAUACUAAAUUCAGGUCAGGGAAGCAGGGUGCUAAACCCAAUACUACUGUUUUAGUGCCAGUUUCUAACAAUAGUUGGAAUAGUCUACCAAUUUGAAAGGGUGCAAUAGUCAUUCAUUAAAAUCUUUUCUUGUUUUGUUUUGUGUGUGUGUGUGUGUGUGUGUGUGUGUGUGUGUGUGUUACUAGAGAUUAAAUACAUGGUCACUGUAACCUUUUGUUUUCUUUUUAAAACAGGGUCUCACUAAGUUACCAUAUUGGUCUUGAGCUUGGCAAACUUCCUGCCUCAGUCUCCAGAGUAAUUGCAAUUUCCAGCCUGCAUCUCAAAAGCCAGCAAGUCUUGAGGUAAGUAUUGAUGCUGGCCUCUUUGUAGGACAGUUCAUCUCACUUCUCUGUGCUUGAAUAAGGUUUAGGUGUUUUUGCUUUUAGUCACUGUGUAUAUGUAGUAGGUUCUUCGAUACAAACUGGCAUGAGUUUUAGUAAAAUUACUGGGUGGUUAUAUUGUAUAAGGUAGGAAAAUUUAUAUUUACCUGGAAGUAUUAAAAAAUGAUUGUUACAAGGUAUAGUAACAUGUGCCUUUAAUCCCAGCACACAGAAGCAGGCAGGUCUCUAAGAAAUCGAGCCAGCCUGGCCUACGAAACAAGUUCCAGGACAGCCAAGAAGGGAUAGAUUCAUCCCCUAAUAUGUGCAUUUUAAUCCUGAACAAGAAAAGAACUGCUGGAGGUCUCAUCAAUCCUGAUUUCAAAUUGUACUUCAAAACUACAGUAAUAAAGACAGCAUGGUAUUAACAUAAAAACAGACACAUUGAUCAAAGGAAUCAAAUUGAGGGCCCAGACCCAAACUCACACACAUAUGGACACACAGAAAAAAAGACAUCUUCAAAAAAUGGUACUAGUCUAACUGAAUGGCUGCAUGUAGAAGAAUGCAAAUAGAGCAAUACUUAUCAUCCUGCACAAAAUGGAUUAAAGACCUAAAUAUAAAACCAGAUGCAAUGAACCUGAAAGAAGGGAAAGUGAGGGAUAUCUUUCAAUGCAUUGGCACAGAAGAAUUUCUGAACAGAACACCAUUAGUGCAGACACUGAUGUCAACAAUUAAUAAAUGGGACCUCAGGAAACAGGCUUCUGUAAGGCAAUGACAGUGUCAUUCAGACAAGGUGGCAACCUAUAGAAUAGGAAAAGAUUUUCAUGCACUCUACAUCUAAUAGAGGGCUAAUACUCAAAAUAUAUAAAGAACCAAGGAAAAUAGAUAUUUAGAAAACCAAAAAACAAUUAGAAUAUGGUACAGACCUAAGCUGAAUUAUCAAUAGAGAAAACUCAAAUGUGUAAAAAACACUUAAAGAAAUGUUGACCAUCCUUAGUCAUCAGGUAAAUGCAAAUCCAAAGUACUUUUAGAUUCCAUCUCACUCCUGUCAGAAUGGCUAAGAUCUGUAUGUGGGCUAUGUUCUGCUAGCUGGGCUGCCUUGUCCGGCCUCAGCGGGAGAGAGGAAGCUCCUAACCUGGCAGAGACUUGAAGUGCCAGGGUUGAAGGGAUAUCUGGGAAGGGGGGCGGUUCUAACUUCUUAGAGGAGAAGGGGAGGGGUGAUGGUGGAAGGAUUGUGGGGGAGUGCCUGGGAGAGGAGAAGUGAGCUGCAUGUAAAUAGAAUAAUUUAAAUUUAAACAAAACCAAAUCCCACAAGUAGCAGUGCUUUCUGGCAAAGAUGCGAAGCAAUCUAACCCUUGCUGGUAAGAUUUCAAACUUGUAAAACCAGUUUGGAAGUCAAUAUUGCAAUUUCCCAGUAAGUUGGGAGUCCAUCUACCUCAAGAUCCAGCUAUACAACUCUUUGGGAAUAUACCUAAAGGGCAUUUCAUUCUAUUACAAGUUGAGCAAGGAUAUUUGCUCAACUAUGUUCUAGCUGUUUUAUCCAUAAUAGCCAAAAAUUGGAAACAACCUAGAUGUCCCUCUACAGAGGAAUGAAUAAAAAAUUGUGGUACAGUUACACAAUAGACUAUUACCUUUUUACAAUAUGACAUCAUGAAAUUUUCAGGAAAAUGGAUGGAACUAGACAAAAAAUUAUCCUGAGUGAGGUAACCCAGAUCCAUAAAAAUAAAUAUGGCAUGUAUUCAUUUAUAUGCAGAUAUUAACCAUUAAAUAAAUGAUAACUAGCUACAAUCUGAAAACCCAGAAAGGUUAGGUAUAGUUGAAGGGACUAGGAAAGACAUAUAGAUCUCCCAGAUGAGCCGGGAACAGGGAGGACUAGAAAGGGAGGAUCAUGGAAGGAGGGGGGGGUAGUAUUGAAGGAGGGAAUGCAGGGUGAAACAGCAAGAACUGAGGGACAUUUGAGUGGUGAAAACUUAGUAGAGUGGAAACUUUCUAAAACAUACAAAGACAAUGAAGUCUUCAAAUAACAAGGGAGAUGGAGCCCUCAUUGGCCAUCUUUGUCACCAAACGAAGCUUCCAGUAGUGGGAUUAAGUUUCAACUAAUGGAGCUGUUGGCUAAAGUGGUUCCACUAAAAUCCCCAAACAAUCCAAGCUGUUGCCCAGAGAAUACGUUGCUCUGCAAAAGCUAACAGCAAGCCCCCAUCGCAGCAGACAGUAGCUCCACAACUCACUGAACAUGGAGCUGGUGCUACAUAGAACUUUGUCCCUACUUUCUAAAGUCUUUGGUCCGGGAAGGUACUCUGAAAGCUACCUACCAAAAAGAAUAGUAAACACCUACCCAGUCACAAAUCUUUUAUCUACAAUCUGUCCUGUCUGAAAAAUAUGCUAGGAUAGUAGUGAGGCAAAGCUUGUGGGAGUAACCAACCAACGUCCAAUUUAACGUAAGAGUCAUGCUAAGAGAUAGUACCCAUACCAGACACUGCUUGAGUGACCAAGAAUCAGAAACUAGAUGGCCCAGAGAUGAAGGGAACAACAAAUACUACGGGUCUAAAAAAAUAACAAUAAAAUGAUUCCUAAUGAUAUUCUUCUAUUCUCGUAGGUCAGGACUGCGUUCAGAAGCUUCUUCUUGCAGGAGAUGGAAACAAAUACAGAGGUCCUCAGCCAAGCAUUAUGGAGAGAGAGAGAGAGAGAGAGAGAGAGAGAGAGAGAGAGAGAGAGAGAGAGAGAGAGACCUUGGGAUAGGGACACACAGCCUAAGUGAGAUGUCUCCAUGAAAUCCCUCCUCUCAGAGCUCAGGGAAUCCUGUGGAAAAGGAGGCAGAAAAAAUGUAAAAGUCAAAGGGGAUGGAGAACACCAGGAGAACAAGGUCUUCCAAAUCAACUGAGGAAAGGUCUUAUGAAUUCAGAGUGAAGCAACAAGCACAUGGCCUACACAGUUCUACCCCAGGUCAUGUGUGUGUGUAUACAUACAUACAUACAUACAUACAUACAUACAUACAUAUAGAUGCAGGUACAUAUCCAUAUGUUUAUCUUAUGCCUUCUGUUGGGGCUCUCUUCCUCCUGUUGGGUUGCUUUGUCCAACUUCGAUGUGACAGUCUUUGUGUCUGGAUGGGAGGAAAGGUAAGGAGGAGCUGGCAGGUGUAAAGAGAGGGCAAACUGCAAUCAGGAUAUAUGGGAUAUGAGAGAAGAAUCAUUUUAAUAAAAGGUGAUGAUAUGUAUAUUUUGAAUUCAUGCAAGUAUCCAGGUGUAGUUGAAGUGAUUUUCAAGGAUGAUGGUUGCCAAGGGAAUGAACCAGGAUCUUGAUGAGCACAUUACAUAUUCAAAACCUAUUUUGCGCUGGUUUUCUUUCUUCCCAUUUAAUAAGAAUGGAAAUACGGAGAUUGAACCUUACACACAAGAGGCAACCACUUUGCAGCCCUAGUCCUCGAUUUUUCUACUAUUUAUUUUGUAAUCAUAUCCCACCAAGUUGUCAAGGGUAGUAAUGAGCUCCUUCUGUGGCCUAGGAAGGUCACUGUUCUUCUUUCAGCCUUCUGAGUAUCCCGAAUUACAGUAAGGUAACAUGGACCCCAAAAGACAAUGCGAAAUGUUUUCUGUCAAGUCUUCAGAAGUGAUGCUUGAGUGACUGUGCAGAAAACAAAAAAGUAAAAAGGAGGCACUGUUGAGGGUAUGGGGAAGCAAUAAAGGGGAAUAGCAGAGUACAAAUGAUCUGAUGAAAGAAAUGGAGAAAAUGGGGGUCUUUAAUUAGAGAGGGAGAAAAAGGCACAAAAACUGUUAGGUUUAAACAUUAUAAGGAUUCACACUAUUAAUUUUUCUAAAAAUAUAAUAUAUAUUAUAAUCAGUAUACAUAUGGACUGUGAAUGAAAUUUGCCCUUUUAGGUUGAUAAUGCCCCUUCAGAAAGUCAAAGACCUUCUAACAAAACCUCCACUAGGCAUGAGAAGCCCUCUUUUGAGUUGUUGGUUACAGUUGGCCAAGACACUGUCAAAAUGUUAUGUGCCUUUGGUUGUCCCCCAUAGCUGGAAGGUAAAUUCCUAUUGCUGAAGAUACCAUGCACUUCAGACACAGGGCUCAGAGACUCCUGAGCUGGGACUAAGCUAAAUGAUCCCUUACCUGAGGACUAGCUUUUAUGGUAGCGGAUGGGACCAUGCUUGUUUCCAGUGGAGCGAAGCAACCAACAAAUCCUACCUGCCCCUGAUGUCUAUGAACCACAAAGAUCACCAUGGCAUGUUAACCCCAAGGGCGCAAUAAGGGUGUGCGUGCCUUGGUGGUAACCAACAACUGUCUACUUGGAUGUAAGACCCACUGAACAAGAGGGAGUCAUGCCUGGCCCUAGAAAUCCCAGUGGUAGUGAAGUCAUGGAGCUUGGAAACACCUACAGCUACCACUUUACUAAACCUGCAUAAUCCCUAACUGCAUUUGAAAUAUUUAUCAUUAUAUAAAGAUAAAUGUAGUCCUCACACUUCAUCAAUAAUGGACAGAGACCAUUACCAAAAAAAAAAAUAAAAAAUAAAAAAAAAUACAACCAGUCAAAACAUAGUUGUAGAGCCCAGUCCCAAAGAAGACAUCUAUAAAACAACUCCCACAUCUAAGGCUCAGAGGUCAUUUUAGAAGAAGGGGCAUACAGAUUAUAAGAGGCAAAGAAUUGAGGAAUUUGCUAUAAGAUUAUAUCUCUUCGGAAUGUCAGAAGCUACAAUCAAAAUCUAACCAAUAUGCUACCCUUUUUAAGGGAGGCAAUCAAUCAGCAGAGUUCUUGGUGUUUUGGGCUUAUUCUCAUUUUGCCCCCUCUUCUGUAAUGUUCCCUGAGCUAUGGGUAGGUGCAUAGCUGUGGUAGAGAUGUGUUCAUUGGGGCUGGGCUCCCAUAAUCUUGGAAUUGUGCCCAGUUGUGUUUUUCUGUGAUUGUCCUCAUUUUCUAUAAAAAGAAGCUCCUUUUAUGAAGGGUGAUAUAGUUGCACUUAUCUGUGGGUAUAUGGGUAAGAGUUACAAUGUAGUAAGGAAUUAUGCUGAUCUGGUGAAGUGGUGAUUGUAGAUUCCUUUUUAAGAUCCACGAACUUAUUGUCCCUGGGAAGUUGGCUGGCCUUCUAGUACCUUGCAUGAUGUUCCUCCUGUUGGGAGUACUUUAAGUCUAAUUAGACAGCUGCUAAUUACCACCAAUACAUGAGUGCUACUCACUACACCUUUACAGGUAUCUUGCUACACUGGCACUGGGCUUCAUAAGCAUUGUCACUGAAUUCUAUUUUCUGGUACCAUGAAAGGUAGACUCAAGAAAAGAGGCUUUCAGAUUGGAUCCAGCUGGAAAAAUCCAAGUCCUGUGGCCUGAGUGUGUGGUUUCUUCAUUAGUAGAUCUUCGAUCUCUAGAGAGGCAACAGCAAUAGUUUAGAUUGUCUGGGAAGUCACUUGGACUACUUGAGCAACUGUUCAAAAGAAGGUUUCCCAUGCCUGCUACUGGGGGUUUUGUCAGUCUAUGGUUCUUGUGGCGAAUAUUGCCAGACCAAGUGACAUAGAGAGGUUGGCAAAUGCAUGCACACAUGCAUGAAGACAUACAUACAUACAUACAUACAUACAUACAUACAUACAUACAUACAUACAUAGAAUCUAAUAUUAGAUACAUUAUAAAAUAAUAAGAUUCCUUGAAGCUUUGUCAAACCUUGGUGCUAUUUGGUUCUUGCUCUCCUUCUGUACUGACCUCCCUUAGCCCUCACCGGUUGGAGUCCUCCCUAUUUUUCCAUUUCUCAUUUCAUAUUACCUGUAUCCUGCUGUUCUCCUCUCAUCCCCUCCCCCCACCAUGGUUCCCUCAUACUCUCUUUCUGUAGUUACUCUAUGCGCUAUACUCUCUUCUGAAGAUUAGUAGCUAGGAUCUGCACACGAGAAAGAAAAUGUAGUCUUUCUGGAUCUGUGUUACAUCACUCAAUACAAUCUUUUCUAGAUCCAGAGAUGGAUAUUUUGAUAAGAGUUUUGACCUAGUAUUCUAGCAAUAACCUACACAAAGCUAUUAUUUUUAUAAAAUUAGAUUAGAACCUUAGUGGCAUAAGUUCUAUUAGAACAAGUCAGGUAUUUAAAGCACAUUUUCCAAGUGCAUUUCUUAUUUUCAGAAUCCUGUCAGAAGAAACAGUCAACUCAAUAAUGGUCAUAAGUAGAAAUUUGUUAGCUACCAUGUCUUUGAUGAGGGAAGUCUUCUGCAAUGAUGAAAAUUUGAUCUUUAAUUCCCAGGGGAGGAAUUUGUGUUUUCUCAUCACUUUUCAAAGUAGGUGUGCUUAUAUAGGCAUGAAACAAUUUCACAUUUGCUUAUAGGUCAUUAAUGAUGUUUUAAAUUCUAAUAUGUAUUUGAGGGCACAUAUGACAUAUUAUUUUUAUAAAACUCAUUUCUCCAUAGAGUUUAUAGUAAGCCUCUGACCUCAUUACAUUCUUUCUCAUAGGUAGUAUAUCUGUAAUUUUUGUCAUGUUGAAAUGGUAUUUAUAAUUCAUGUUUAUAAAGGUGUUUUUAAAGAAUUUAUAAUAGUAUCUGUCUUAGUUAGGGUUUCUAUUGAUGCAACAAAAUGCAAGUUUAGGGAAAAAGGGUUUAUUUGGUGUGGUGGUUUUAGUAGGUAUGGGCCCCAUAGACUAUUUGUUUGAAUGCCUGCUCCAUAGGGAGUGGCACUAUUAAGGGGUGUGGCCUUUUUGGAAUUGGUAUGGCCUUGUUGGAGGAAGUUUGCCGCUGUGAGGGUGGGCUUUGAGGUCUCCUAUGCUCGAGCUACACCCAGUAUGCACAGUCUUCUGUUAUCUGUGGAUCAAGAUGUAGAAGGUCUUCCAGCACCAUAUCUACCUGCAUGCUGCCAUGCUUCCCACCAUGAUGAUAAUGGACUACACCUUUGAAACUAUAAGCCAGCUCCAAUUAAAUGUUGUCCUUUAUAUGAGUUCUGUGAUCGUGGUGUCUGUUCACAGCAAUAAAACCCAAACUAGGACAUACGGCUUAUUCUUCUAUAUUAUAGUCCAUCACCAGAGAGUCAGGACAGUAACUCAAUCAGGACUGAAACCUGAAGGUAGGAGCUAAUGCAGAGGCCAUGGAUGGGUUCAGCUUACUGGCUUGCUUAGCCUGGUUUCUUAUAGAACCCAGUACCACCAGCACUGGACUGCAACCACCCGCUUUGUGCCAGGCCUCCCCAAUCAAUCACUAAUUUAAAAACAAGUCUUACAGCCAAAUCUUAUGGAUGCGUUUUCUCAAUUUAGAUUCCCUCCUUUCAGAUAACUCUAGUUUUUGUGUCAAGUUGACACAAGAAUAGCAGGCACAGGAUCAAUCAAUUGCUUGGUAUAGUACUGACCCCAUCAUUUUUGCGUGUCUCAUUUUAUGAAGGUGGAAGAUCCUUUUAUAUGACUCUUUCCUUGGAGUUCUGCAAGUAUUUCAGGAGUACUGACAGGUCCUUCAAUGAUCCAUUUAGCCAAGGAAAUUUGAAGAUAAAAGGGUAGAAAGAGAUGUGUAUAGAGUGAGAUGUAUAACAUGCUGUUUUAUUUUUCCUAGAGCCUUGUUGGUUUAUCACAGGUGUCUGCUUAAGGAACCUGAUAUAAAGUAAAUAUUAUGAAAUAGAGAAGUUCUGGCACUUGUAGCAUCCAUGGUAUUGAAAUAUAUGAAAAUAUUUAUGUAGAAUCCUAAGAAUUUUGGGACCAUGAAGAUAUUCAAGCAUUUAUGAUUUUCCCCCCUGAUGGCCCAGUCUGUCAACUGCUUACAAGUGUAUAGUCAAAACAACAUGGCUUUCUUACAUGGAUAUUGAACUUGGAUAAUUACAAAAAUCAAGGUAGAAUGGACGUAUCCUGUAGUUGAGAUAACCUGGUAUAAAGUAAAUUAUCUCUAAAAUAUAUUUCAUAACAUCUUCUUCAGAAUCUUGUGAUAAGUCCAGUCUGCAUGACAAAUUGCUAGUAAGUGCCUGAUAUUGGCACUUUGCAGGUAAAUCCUAAUGUGUAUGAAAUAAAACAUAAACCAUUUGAUCUCCAGAUAUAAAGUGAUAUAGGUGCACUUCACACACAUUGCCAUGAUUUCUUUACAGGUACUUAGGUAGGGAAUGGGACCCUUUGGUCCCAUAAGCAGUGGACUGUACAUACCAAGGUAAUAAUGAUCAGAUCUUGCUAGCCACACAAGUCACCACAGAAAUAUUUCAGGUAUUCCAUACAAAAAUGUGUUGUUUGCCAGUGGCCUUGACCCUGAAGCCCCCCAAGGAGCUGAGUAAAUUGAUGAGCUCCACACAGGUGGAUGGUUCCAAACUGUGUCCUUUUAUACUUACAUAAUAAUAUAUUUUACAGGUUCUUGUCAAGACAUAGUAUGUCAACCCAGGGUAGCUAUUAAGUUACAAAGCAAGUAUUGAAGAAAAUGCUGAUAUGGGCUUAAAUCACUACUGAAGGUAUCUGAUCAUUUUGUAAAAGAAAAUAAUUUUGGUUUUACCGGAAGUCCCACAGCAGCGGAUCCCGGCCCGCAGCAGCUCUCUGCUCCCAGACACGGGGAGAGAGAGACCCAACCGCCUGGUCAGGUGGGCACUCCUGAGGCUGCAGAGCAGAAGAGACCACCAACACUGCCCACCCCUGCCCACAUCCCUGGCCCAAGAGGAAACUGUAUAAGGCCUCUGGGCUCCCGUGGGGGAGGGCCCAGGAGCGGCAGGACCCCUGCCUGAGACACCAACGGAACCUGAUAGAAACAGACCGAUAAACAGUUCUCUGCACCCAAAUCCCGUGGGAGGGAGAGCUAAACCUUCAGAGAGGCAGACAAGCCUGGGAAACCAGAAGAGACUGCUCCCUGCACACACAUCUCAGACGCCAGAGGAAAAAGCCAAAGACCAUCUGGAACCCUGGUGCACUGAAGCUCCCGGAAGGGGCAGCACAGGUCUUCCUGGUUGCUGCCGCUGCAGA